GCAAUAUUUUGAUUUUUGCUUUAACCAAACGUCUUUGUUCGCGAAAGUCAAUCGCAGCAGCACAUCUUCUAAGAAAGAACGAAUGCACAACGGUGGCACGACAGAAGAGCUACCGGGGGUGAGGGAACUGGCUUACUUCCGGUUCGCCUAUUCGCGCCACCAUCCGGCACGAGCUGCAUUCUCACGCUCAUCUGCAUACUCGGCUAUACAUCAAUAUUCGGAGCGGCCGGAAAACGGGCCCCGCUUUGCAUACUGGACCCCCCGCUCGUGUCAUUUCUCCUCUCGCAGGGAUCCCAGUGGGACAUCGCGUGGCAGAUCCUGAGAAAGGAGUCGCACAAAAUAUACACCCUGCGGAUCACCGUCCAAGACUCCAAGAUCGCGAAGACACAGUGACGCGAGCGGUGCGUACCUGGAGGAAGGAAUGUGGGUUGCGCAAUUUAAAUAAUUCAGAAAUGACCCUGACCCCGGUUAGGCCACGGGGUGACCUGCAGCCGGCGAUUACAAUCACAAUGCACCGCCGAGUUCUCAGGUUGAAUUUUAGACGACAAUGGUUACAUGGUCCAGUUGCAUCUUGCAUUGCAUUAUCGUUUGCGCUGAAGGCAGAAACUGGACUUAUCCGUCAUGGUACACAUAGCUCGAGAAGAACCGAAUGUUUAACCGGUGCGCGUUUAAGCGGCCCAAUUCGUAACAUUAACAUAACGGUAAGCAAUACUGGAUGUCAAAGCUUGACUGUGCGUUUAAGGGUACACACCUUGCCGAAAUCCCACGGUAAGAAGUUAGAUUGUUCGGCCUCGAAAUCAGCGAUUUCAAAUAUAUAGGAGAAUAGCUGAUGUUUUUUAAAUGAUAUGCAGGAUGCACGGGGAUUGAAACUCCGUGAGAAAUUGCGGAUGAUCUGUUCGCUGGAUCAGAGCCUUUUCGACAAUUGGAUAUAUGCAAAGUGGGAUUCGCGAUAUAUGCAUAAGUCCGUUUUACUGUUGCACAAAUCAGUUGUAAAUCGACAUUUCGAAGAACGCGAUGCAAAACAUUAUGCAAAUGACAUAAUGCAAAAACGCAGUACAUUCGUGUGAGAAGCUGUCUGUAAUUAUAACUUUAAGUAAGCUUUACUCGUUACUUUAAUCAAAUGUUUGCUACAAAUCU